CCCGCUGAACUUAAGCAUAUCAAUAAGCGGAGGAAAAGAAACUAACCAGGAUUCCCUUAGUAACUGCGAGUGAAGAGGGAAAAGCUCAAAUUUAAAAUCUGGCGGUCAGUUUGGCCGCCCGAGUUGUAAAUUAGAGAAGCGUUAUCCGCGCUGGACCGUGCAAAAGUCUCUUGGAAAGGAGCAUCAUAGAGGGUGACAAUCCCGUCUUUGGCACGGACUACCAGGGCAUUUGUGAUGCGCUCUCAAAGAGUCGAGUUGUUUGGGAAUGCAGCUCUAAAUGGGUGGUAAAUUCCAUCUAAAGCUAAAUAUUGGCGAGAGACCGAUAGCGCACAAGUACCGUGAGGGAAAGAUGAAAAGGACUUUGAAAAGAGAGUUAAACAGUACGUGAAAUUGUUGAAAGGGAAACGCUUGAAGUCAGUCGCGUCCUUGAGAAAUCAACUUGACUUUUUUGGUUGAGUGCACUUUCUGUUUGGACGGGUCAGCAUCAAUUUUGACCGCUGGAAAAGGGCUUGGGGAAAGUGACAUCCUUUGUUGAUGUGUUAUAGACCCGGGUACAUAUACAGUGGUUGGGAUUGAGGAACGCAGCGCGUUAACUGGGGAAUAUCUCCCACAUCAGCGCUUAGGAUGCUGGCUUAAUGGCUUUAAUCGACCCGUCUUGAAACACGG
rnacentral:rRNA from 1 species